rnacentral:rRNA from 1 species
CCUACGGGAGGCAGCAGUAGGGAAUAUUGCUCAAUGGGGGAAACCCUGAAGCAGCAACGCCGCGUGGAGGAUGAAGGUUUUCGGAUUUGAAACUCCUUUUGUUAGAGAAGAGAAUGACGGUAUCUAACGAAUAAGCACCGGCUAACUCCGUGCCAGCAGCCGCGGUAAUACGGAGGGUGCAAGCGUUACUCGGAAUCACUGGGCGUAAAGAGGGCGUAGGCGGGAUAGCAAGUCAGAUGUGAAAUCCUAUGGCUUAACCAUAGAACUGCAUUUGAAACUGUUAUUCUAGAGUAUGGGAGAGGUAGGUGGAAUUCGUGGUGUAGCGGUCAAAUCCGUAGAGAUCAAGAGGAAUACUCAUUGCGAAGGCGACCUGCUAGACCAUAACUGACGCUGAUGCGCGAAAGCGUGGGGAGCAAACAGGAUUAGAUACCCCAGUAGUC